rnacentral:rRNA from 1 species
CACGUAGGGGACGAGCGUUGUCCGGAUUCAUUGGGCGUAAAGCGCGCGUAGGCGGCUCGGAAAGUCGGGCGUGAAAUGCCGGGGCUCAACCCCGGGACUGCGUCCGAUACUUCCGGGCUGGAGGUAGGUAGGGGAGAUCGGAAUUCCUGGUGUAGCGGUGAAAUGCGCAGAUAUCAGGAGGAACACCCGUGGCGAAGGCGGUGCUCUGGGCCGGAACUGACGCUGAGGAGCGAAAGCGUGGGGAGCGAACAGG